GAUGAACGCUGGCGGCGGGCCUAAUACAUGCAAGUCGAGCGAACAGACGAGGAGCUUGCUCCGCUGACGUUAGCGGCGGACGGGUGAUUAACACGUGGAUAACCUACCUAUAAGACUGGGAUAACUUCGGGAAACCGGAGCUAAUACCGGAUAAUAUAUUGAACCGCAUGGUUCAAUAGUGAAAUACGGUUUUUCUUUCACUUAUAGAUGGAUCCGCGCCGCAUUAGCUAGUUGGUAAGGUAACGGCUUACCAAGGAGAGGAUGCGUAGCCGACCUGAGAGGGUGUACGGCCAGACUGGCACUGAGACACGGUAGCGACUCCUACGGGAGGAAGCAGUAGGGACUCCUACGCAAGGGGGGAAAGCCUGACGGAGCAAAGCGGCGUGAGUGAUGAAGGUCUUCGGAUCGUAAAAUUCUGUUAUUCGGGAAGAACAAAUGUGUAAGUACCUAUGCACGUCUUGACGGUACCUAAUCAGAAAGCCACGGCUAACUACGUG
rnacentral:rRNA from 1 species